AAGACCUUGCGCUUUUGGAGCGGCCGAUGUCUGAUUAGCUAGUUGGUGGGGUAAAGGCUUACCAAGGCUUCGAUCAGUAGCUGGUCUGAGAGGACGACCAGCCACACUGGGACUGAGACACGGCCCAGACUCCUACGGGAGGCAGCAGUGGGGAAUUUUGGACAAUGGGGGAAACCCUGAUCCAGCCAUGCCGCGUGAGUGAAGAAGGCCUUCGGGUUGUAAAGCUCUUUCAGCCGGAACGAAAAGGUCAUGGCUAAUACCUGUGACAAAUGACGGUACCGGAAGAAGAAGCACCGGCUAACUACGUGCCAGCAGCCGCGGUAAUACGUAGGGUGCAAGCGUUAAUCGGAAUUACUGGGCGUAAAGCGUGCGCGGGCGGUUUUGUAAGUCAGAUGUGAAAUCCCCGGGCUUAACCUGGGAACU
rnacentral:rRNA from 1 species